rnacentral:lncRNA from 1 species
GACCAAGCAUUCCUCCUUCCAGCCCGGGGAUCAGUGGAAAUUUAUUCAGCCAUUGAUUGUGAUAUCUUCAGGAAAGCAGAUGAAACAGUCACACAGGAGCAGAGCCUCCUCACGGCUCACCCUGUACCUUCCUCCCUGUCAAGUGGAAGAAAGCAAAGCAAUGAAAUUCAACCAGUAAGACUCUGGCUGACAGCAUCUUCAGAACUGCAUUUCUGUGGCAGUCAUAGCAAGAGAUUAGAAGAAUCUCGGUGUUUAAAAUUACAGCUUGAGAGGAGAACAACA